GAUGAACACUGACAGAAUGCUUAACACAUGCAAGUCGAUGGGGAAGUGGUGCUUGCACCAUGGCAACCAUGGCGGACGGGUGAGUAACGCGUAAGGGACUUACCUGCAGGACUGGGAUAACAGGGGGAAACUCCUGACAAGACCGGAUAAUGUCAUGGAGCUGCAUGGCUUUAUGAUGAAAGGAGACGCCUGCGGAGAGCCUUGCGUCCUAUUAGCUAGUUGGUGAGGUAAUGGCUCACCAAGGCGAAGAUAGGUAGCCGGCCUGAGAGGGUGGACGGCCACAAGGGGACUGAGAUACGGCCCUUACUCCUACGGGAGGCAGCAGUGGGGAAUAUUGGACAAUGGGGGCAACCCUGAUCCAGCAAUUCUGUGUGCACGAAGAAGGUUUUCGGAUUGUAAAGUGCCUUCAGCAGGGAAGAAGUAAGUGACGGUACCUGCAGAAGAAGCGACGGCUAAAUACGUG
rnacentral:rRNA from 1 species